AGAGUUUGAUCUCUGGCUCAGGAUGAACGCCGGCGGUGUGCCUAAUACAUGCAAGUCGUACGCACUGGCCCAACUGAUUGAUGGUGCUUGCACCUGAUUGACGAUGGAUCACCAGUGAGUGGCGGACGGGUGAGUAACACGUAGGUAACCUGCCUCGGAGCGGGGGAUAACAUUUGGAAACAGAUGCUAAUACCGCAUAACAACAAAAGCCACAUGGCUUUUGUUUGAAAGAUGGCUUUGGCUAUCACUCUGGGAUGGACCUGCGGUGCAUUAGCUAGUUGGUAAGGUAACGGCUUACCAAGGCAAUGAUGCAUAGCCGAGUUGAGAGACUGAUCGGCCACAAUGGAACUGAGACACGGUCCAUACUCCUACGGGAGGCAGCAGUAGGGAAUCUUCCACAAUGGGCGCAAGCCUGAUGGAGCAACACCGCGUGAGUGAAGAAGGGUUUCGGCUCGUAAAGCUCUGUUGUUGGAGAAGAACGUGCGUGAGAGUAACUGUUCACGCAGUGACGGUAUCCAACCAGAAAGUCACGGCUAACUACGUGCCAGCAGCCGCGGUAAUACGUAGGUGGCAAGCGUUAUCCGGAUUUAUUGGGCGUAAAGCGAGCGCAGGCGGUUGCUUAGGUCUGAUGUGAAAGCCUUCGGCUUAACCGAAGAAGUGCAUCGGAAACCGGGCGACUUGAGUGCAGAAGAGGACAGUGGAACUCCAUGUGUAGCGGUGGAAUGCGUAGAUAUAUGGAAGAACACCAGUGGCGAAGGCGGCUGUCUGGUCUGCAACUGACGCUGAGGCUCGAAAGCAUGGGUAGCGAACAGGAUUAGAUACCCUGGUAGUCCAUGCCGUAAACGAUGAGUGCUAGGUGUUGGAGGGUUUCCGCCCUUCAGUGCCGGAGCUAACGCAUUAAGCACUCCGCCUGGGGAGUACGACCGCAAGGUUGAAACUCAAAGGAAUUGACGGGGGCCCGCACAAGCGGUGGAGCAUGUGGUUUAAUUCGAAGCUACGCGAAGAACCUUACCAGGUCUUGACAUCUUGCGCUAACCUUAGAGAUAAGGCGUUCCCUUCGGGGACGCAAUGACAGGUGGUGCAUGGUCGUCGUCAGCUCGUGUCGUGAGAUGUUGGGUUAAGUCCCGCAACGAGCGCAACCCUUGUUACUAGUUGCCAGCAUUAAGUUGGGCACUCUAGUGAGACUGCCGGUGACAAACCGGAGGAAGGUGGGGACGACGUCAGAUCAUCAUGCCCCUUAUGACCUGGGCUACACACGUGCUACAAUGGACGGUACAACGAGUCGCAAGCUCGCGAGAGUAAGCUAAUCUCUUAAAGCCGUUCUCAGUUCGGACUGUAGGCUGCAACUCGCCUACACGAAGUCGGAAUCGCUAGUAAUCGCGGAUCAGCAUGCCGCGGUGAAUACGUUCCCGGGCCUUGCACUCACCGCCCGUCA
rnacentral:rRNA from 1 species